UUAAGCUUCAUGAGCACUGUGGUAGAUCCAGCUCAGUAUCAACAACUUUGGGAAGCCAUGUUGUUCAUCCAUCAGACGUUUAUCAAAUAUUGAAUGUGUUAUGGGCACCGAGCAGGGUGCUGGGGAUAUAAACAGACUGAGAUGAGAUGUAGACCCUGCCCUCAAGAAAUCCACCCUUUAGUGGAGGAGAGAGUUAAACAGGUCAUUGUGACCAUGCAUGCGGAAAAAGUAAAGUCCAGAAAGAGAGGCCUCACCAGAAGCCAAAUUUUCCUGUACCUUGUUCUUGAACAUGUAGCCUCUGUAACUGGGAGAAAGGUUCACUUUCAAGGGACUUUGAGGCCUGAUGUGUCCCGGGGUCCUGCAGAAAGAAAUCCUUCUCUGAGAGGGGGAUGUACUUCGGGCCAAGAGGCUACCCAGCAGUCUUCAAAGCAGCCUUGGACGCACAGAGAGUGUAAUGGGUGCUGGUGCCAGCUUGGAGGCUCCCUGAUCUCAAUCAGACAUGAAGGCCCUUAACAAAAGUUAGCAGGUGGACCCUCGGCCUGAGCUCUGGUCUCCAUGUCUCCCAUUGUUGCCAUGACAUAAUUGACAGUCCCAUGAAGGCAGUGUGGGCUGUGGCUUGCGUCCAUUCCCUCCUCGCAUCCCGAAGUCUGCCACUGUGCUGCUCAAAUGAAAUUUAAAUGAACCUCUCCUGUAUGAAAGAAAAAAAAGACACAGUUUUUGCCCUUAGGGAAUCCAGUCUCUUAGGAGACAGAUGAAUCCACAAAGAAGUAUAAUCAAGUAUCGAAGGUGCCCUGACACAUGUCUAAAUGGUCAAAGAGAGACAAAGCGGAUCAUAUUUACUCUCAGUUUGGAAGAGACAGGAAAGAGGUCAGGAGUCCUGGGUUGAUGAACAGGAACUUCAGGGAGAGUGGUGUCUAUGCAUUCAGCUGCUAAUAAAUCGGUAAUCUAGA